UUGAAUGUAUCUUGAUACCGGAUAUGAUCUAAAACUUGUCACAGGAACUAAUGUCGUCUCGAUGUGCAUUGCACGUCUGUAUGCAAAAUAUAUCCUUUCGGAUAAACCUUUUUUUAGUCCUUUCCCGAAUUCAGUCGACUUUGUAAUGGUAGUCUUGCGGGAAGAUUGACCAGAAGAACCUUGUUUGAAGAAGGAACCUUGAAGUCUAUUAUCAGUGCCCAAACAGAAGAUGCGGCCUCUCAGCGUUCAAAUACUGAAACUGAGGUUCAAAUGAAUCUUGACGAUGAGAGUGAAAUCAAUCGCACCAAACUCCUACUGAACGCAGCUGUGGAUAGUGAUAUGGAGGAAGAGGAUGAGGAAGAAGAUGAGGAUGAAGAGGAAGACGAAAAUGAGCUUGAAAUUGUGCCUGAGGACGAUGAGGAGGAAGAUGAUGAUUACUGAGAAUUGUGGGUCGUCUGUGCAUUGACUGAAGACAAAUGUGAACUUAAUGUAACCAAACACAUGUUUUUAUUUGAUUUGGGUUGGUUGUUUUUCUGUUUUGAUUAGUUAACAUGUUUAACUUAUUUUGAGAGAAUGAGUUACAGUGCUUGGAUUUGUAGAGUUAGCAUUAUCCCCUGUGUGUCUCAUUUUCAACAUUAUACCUUCAGUCCUUACCUGCAGUCAAAUGUCAAAUUUUAUAGAACAUGUGUGAGUAAAGUAAAGUGCAUUAAAACUGUGUUAAAAUAGGUGCCUGUACUGUAACGUUUGUGACACUUUGAACAUUAGGGAAUAACAAAAAUAGCAAAAAUUCCCUGAAAAAUCAAAGCUGUCUUGUUCAAAUAUAACAUAACGGAUGAAGAUAAUAUGGAUGCACUGUGUACAAAAUAAUAAGCACAAAAAUAAAAAAAUUUUCAUGUGGCAGUUGUCUACAAGCUUGCUAUUUUUUUCAUUUUGAAAUCUAGUUGGGUUAAAAAUUAAAGUUAUGGUGUUAAUACUUUUGUCCCAACCUAAUCCAGGAAAAUGGAUUAUGCAGAGCAAACACUUUCGUUUAGAAAACCAUUCAGCAUUUUCUAAACAGUUAAAACAAUACAGGCUGCCCGACAAUACUGCCAGCUUUCACUCUGACAGCAGGGACAGCUCUGGAGAAGGGUAGCGUUUCAGCAGCCAAUGUGAAAACGGGGGGUUCAGAGACCUCUGCUUUUUUACAUGUUCUGCUGCUCCAGGAAAAUCCCUGUCGCCUUUCAGACUCAGGUGGCCAGCCUGCUCCAAAUGCAAUCUUCAUAAAGCUUACAGGAGUGGAGCAGAACGAGUCAGGAACUGUGCUGCAGACUCAGAGGUACCAUGCGGCCCAGCUGUGCAGUCAGUGUGUGCCAUGUGCUUAUGUUGGUGUUGUGUCUGUCUGCGGCUGAGGACUUCGACUGGACAAAGGACGAGCACGGCUCCUUCUAUUAUGGCACUUUUCCAGCUGGAUUUUCGUGGGGGGCCGGAGGCUCGGCCUAUCAAACAGAAGGAGCCUGGGACAAAGAUGGAAAAGGACUGAGCAUCUGGGAUGUGUUCAGUCACAAAAAAGGCAAAAUCCAACAAAAUGAGACAGGAGAUUCCUCUUGUGAGGGCUACUACAAAGUCAAGGAUGAUGUUUCUCUGAUGAAGGAACUGAUGCUUAACCACUACAUUUUCUCCAUCUCCUGGCCCAGGAUCAUUCCCACUGGAAUAAAGUCUGACCAUAUAAAUGAAAGAGGAAUACAGUAUUAUGAUCAACUGAUCAACCAACUUUUGGAAAACAAGAUCACGCCCAUUGUCACGCUGUAUCAUUGGGACCUUCCUCAGUUUCUACAAGAGAAAUAUGGAGGAUGGCAGAACAUCAGCAUGGUCAAUCAUUUUAAUGAGUUUGCAAACUUGUGCUUUGAGAGAUUUGGCAACAGAGUGAAGCACUGGAUUACCUUCAGCAAUCCAUGGUCUGUAGCAGUUGAGGGGUAUGAAACCGGAGAACACGCCCCUGGGCUAAGGUUGAGAGGGACGGGGGCAUACAGAGCUGCACAUCACAUUAUUAAGGCUCACGCUAAGGUUUGGCACACUUACGAUACACAGUGGAGAGGAAAACAAAGAGGUCUGGUUGGCAUCUCUUUGUCGGGGGACUGGGGUGAGCCGGUGGACAUCAGCAACCAGAGAGACAUUGAAGCAUCUGAGAGGUAUGUCCAAUUCUCCCUGGGCUGGUUCGCCACCCCCAUCUUUCAUGGUGACUACCCUCAGGUGAUGAAAGACUUUGUUGGAAGGAAGAGUGCUCAACAGGGGCUGGGGACAUCACGACUGCCCUCGUUUUCCCCCCAAGAGAAGAGCUACAUCAAAGGGACUUGUGACUUCCUCGGUAUCGGUCAUUUCACCACUCGCUACAUCACCCACAAGAACAACCCAUCAGGCCGGAGCAGCAGCAGCUUCUUCACUGACCGGGACGUGGCUGAGCUGGUUGACCCGCGCUGGCCUGACCCCGGAUCAGAGUGGCUCUAUUCUGUCCCCUGGGGUUUUAGACGGUUGCUGAAUUUUGUCAAGACUCAGUAUGGAAACCCAACCAUUUAUGUGACAGAGAAUGGAGUCUCUGAGAAAAUGUUGUGCACGGAGCUGUGUGACGAUUGGAGGAUCCAGUAUUUCAAAGACUACAUCAAUGAGAUGCUGAAAGCAAUCAAAGAUGGAGUAAAUGUGAAAGGCUACACCGCAUGGUCCCUACUGGACAAGUUUGAGUGGGAUGAAGGGUACUCGGAGAGAUUUGGACUGUAUUAUGUGGACUUCAGAAACAAAAACAAGCCUCGCUAUCCCAAAGCUUCAGUCCAGUUUUACAAACAAGUAAUCAGCUCCAACGGAUUUCCAAACCAAAGAGAGGUUGAAAACUGGAGGAGGAAGGCGGUAGAAACCUGCUCUUCAAGCAAUCAGCUGCUGGCAGCAGCUAGAAGAAUACCCCAGGAACAUGCAGAAAAGCCCAAGGUUUGGCCAGUGCAUGAUGAAGUUUAGACCUUGGGUUGCAUGUCCCCAAAUCAAUAGGAACAGCGGAGUACUGCUGCCAAUAUUCUCAGACUUAUACAUGACCCCCUGACCAGCCACAUGGAGAUGGUGACUGAGAUCGUUGUUCCCACCGUGUGCACGCUCUCCAUUCUGCUCUGUGCCAUCUUCCUUAUGUUCCUGCUGCGGCGGCGGAACUAGAAAGUGUGCAAACCCCAAAAUCAACAGUCUGUGCACACAUGUGGUCCAAGAGCUUAUCUUUUUAAUGAGUUAUGUGUGAGAAUUUGAACAGAGCUUAGAGAAAACUAUUGAGUGUUAAUUUAAAGUGUGAAUACAAAGUUUCCGGAAAAAUACUGGAACUUAGAAGGCAAAACUUUCAGAAUACACCUCCAAUAUAUUGAUUUCCAUAUUGGAACACUGAAGUGCAAUGUUGUUUUUGCUAACAGCCACUAUUAUCCUCUGUACUUUAAAUUAAACUAAUUUGUUUGGCCAAUA